rnacentral:rRNA from 1 species
CCUACGGGGGGCAGCAGUAGGGAAUAUUGCUCAAUGGGGGAAACCCUGAAGCAGCAACGCCGCGUGGAGGAUGAAGGUUUUCGGAUUGUAAACUCCUUUUGUUAGAGAAGAUAAUGACGGUAUCUAAUGAAUAAGCACCGGCUAACUCCGUGCCAGCAGCCGCGGUAAUACGGGGGGUGCAAGCGUUACUCGGAAUCACUGGGCGUAAAGAGCGCGUAGGCGGAUAGCAAGUCAGAUGUGAAAUCCUAGGGCUUAACCAUAGAACUGCAUUUGAAACUGUUAUUCUAGAGUAUGGGAGAGGUAGGUGGAAUUCUUGGUGUAGGGGUAAAAUCCGUAGAGAUCAAGAGGAAUACUCAUUGCGAAGGCGACCUGCUAGAACAUAACUGACGCUGAUGCGCGAAAGCGUGGGGAGCAAACAGGAUUAGAUACCCGUGUAGUC